rnacentral:lncRNA from 1 species
UAGAGAUUCAAGGAUCGCAAUCAAUGAGGGCUGUCACACUAGAUGCCUCAGACAUCAGAACACAUGUGCCACUUAGAAGGAAAUUGGGGUUCAUCGUGUUUAGUCCUGAAUGGGAAGAAUUGUGGACCAAGACUUGAGAGUCUUGAUGGUAGCAAGAGUUUAUCUUCUUACAUUCUAAGAGCAUCGCAGGAGAGGCAGCAGAGAUUAUAAGCAUCGGAAGACAAAGAUAACUAUUUCGAGAUAUCAGUGAUGUAUGACAGUGACGCUUCAGCCAAGAAAUCUCAACAAUAUGGUUCCCUAAAUGGACCAGCACAAUGCCAAGAGCAGUUGACAUGCCAGUACAGAUAGAAAAGGAAGUUCAUUUCCUUAUCUUUUCAUUUUUUUAAGCAUAUGCUUUGUGGCUGUUAGUGAAAUACUAUAAAAGAAGGAAAGCUUGCUCCUAUUUCUCAUUUGGUGGACGGUUUGUUUGUUUCAGUACUCUAAUAAUAAGGUAUUCAGCAGCUCUUUGGUACUUCCAAAAGAACCUGCAGAAAAUCAAUCAGACAGUGAGCUCUAUGAAAUUAUACCAGGCUAAGGAUUAUGCUACCUGUGCCAUAUCAUAUC